AUUGGUUCAUGUUCAUAAUCUUAAGUGAUGAAAUGACUUCAGCUGAGUGGAGUGCACUCUGAAGUUUCUCUUUCAGCUCCCGAAACACACCUGUCAGAGUAUUACAUCUUCUUACACUACUUUUUUAGCACCUGAAACGUGGAUCUAUGACCAGAUCAGCCGCAAUCCUUCAUGGG